rnacentral:ncRNA from 1 species
UGCGCAGCGCGUGUUUCAUGACGAUGUUGGGAAAAGACACACCCUUUAGUCGCGCCGUCCGGAUGUACUGCGCGGUCAUGACCUCGGUCAUUGAGGCGCGUGUCAUCCGGGCAAUAUAGCCCAUCCCGUAAAGCGCGAUUGUCAGCACCGGUAAGAAGAAAUUCUCGAAGGUCGGGUUC